ACCCACCAAGGCAACGAUCCGUAGCGGGUCUGAGAGGAUGAUCCGCCACACUGGGACUGAGACACGGCCCAGACUCCUACGGGAGGCAGCAGUGGGAAUUUUGGACAAUGGGCGCAAGCCUGAUCCAGCCAUGCCGCGUGAGUGAAGAAGGCCUUCGGGUUGUAAAGCUCUUUCGGCUGGGAAGAAAUCGCAUCUCCUAAUACGGGGUGUGGAUGACGGUACCAGCAUAAGAAGCACCGGCUAACUACGUGCCAGCAGCCGCGGUAAUACGUAGGGUGCGAGCGUUAAUCGGAAUUACUGGGCGUAAAGCGUGCGCAGGCGGUUUCGUAAGACAGAGGUGAAAUCCCCGGGCUCAACCUGGGAACUGCCUUUGUGACUGCGAGGCUAGAGUAUGGCAGAGGGGGGUGGAAUUCCACGUGUAGCAGUGAAAUGCGUAGAGAUGUGGAGGAACACCGAUGGCGAAGGCAGCCCCCUGGGCCAAUACUGACGCUCAUGCACGAAAGCGUGGG
rnacentral:rRNA from 1 species